rnacentral:rRNA from 1 species
AGAGUUUGAUCCUGGCUCAGGAUGAACGCCGGCGGUGUGCCUAAUACAUGCAAGUCGAACGCGUUGGCCCAACUGAUCGGACGUGCUUGCACGAACUUGACGUUGGUUUACCAGCGAGUGGCGGACGGGUGAGUAACACGUAGGUAACCUGCCCCAAAGCGGGGGAUAACAUUUGGAAACAGAUGCUAAUACCGCAUAACAAUUUGAAUCGCAUGAUUCAAAUUUAAAAGAUGGCUUCGGCUAUCACUUUGGGAUGGACCUGCGGCGCAUUAGCUUGUUGGUAGGGUAACGGCCUACCAAGGCUGUGAUGCGUAGCCGAGUUGAGAGACUGAUCGGCCACAAUGGAACUGAGACACGGUCCAUACUCCUACGGGAGGCAGCAGUAGGGAAUCUUCCACAAUGGGCGCAAGCCUGAUGGAGCAACACCGCGUGAGUGAAGAAGGGUUUCGGCUCGUAAAGCUCUGUUGUUAGAGAAGAACGUGCGUGAGAGCAACUGUUCACGCAGUGACGGUAUCUAACCAGAAAGUCACGGCUAACUACGUGCCAGCAGCCGCGGUAAUACGUAGGUGGCAAGCGUUAUCCGGAUUUAUUGGGCGUAAAGCGAGCGCAGGCGGUUUGAUAAGUCUGAUGUGAAAGCCUUUGGCUUAACCAAAGAAGUGCAUCGGAAACUGUCAGACUUGAGUGCAGAAGAGGACAGUGGAACUCCAUGUGUAGCGGUGGAAUGCGUAGAUAUAUGGAAGAACACCAGUGGCGAAGGCGGCUGUCUGGUCUGCAACUGACGCUGAGGCUCGAAAGCAUGGGUAGCGAACAGGAUUAGAUACCCUGGUAGUCCAUGCCGUAAACGAUGAGUGCUAGGUGU